GGCAAGGGCGUAGGCUACCAUGCAGUCGAGCGGUAGCACAGAGAGCUUGCUCUCGGGUGACGAGCGGCGGACGGGUGAGUAAUGUCUGGGAAACUGCCUGAUGGAGGGGGAUAACUACUGGAAACGGUAGCUAAUACCGCAUAACGUCGCAAGACCAAAGAGGGGGACCUUCGGGCCUCUUGCCAUCAGAUGUGCCCAGAUGGGAUUAGCUAGUAGGUGGGGUAACGGCUCACCUAGGCGACGAUCCCUAGCUGGUCUGAGAGGAUGACCAGCCACACUGGAACUGAGACACGGUCCAGACUCCUACGGGAGGCAGCAGUGGGGAAUAUUGCACAAUGGGCGCAAGCCUGAUGCAGCCAUGCCGCGUGUAUGAAGAAGGCCUUCGGGUUGUAAAGUACUUUCAGCGGGGAGGAAGGUGUUGAGGUUAAUAACCUUGGCGAUUGACGUUACCCGCAGAAGAAGCACCGGCUAACUCCGUGCCAGCAGCCGCGGUAAUACGGAGGGUGCAAGCGUUAAUCGGAAUUACUGGGCGUAAAGCGCACGCAGGCGGUCUGUCAAGUCGGAUGUGAAAUCCCCGGGCUCAACCUGGGAACUGCAUUCGAAACUGGCAGGCUGGAGUCUUGUAGAGGGGGGUAGAAUUCCAGGUGUAGCGGUGAAAUGCGUAGAGAUCUGGAGGAAUACCGGUGGCGAAGGCGGCCCCCUGGACAAGACUGACGCUCAGGUGCGAAAGCGUGGGGAGCAAACAGGAUUAGAUACCCUGGUAGUCCACGCCGUAAACGAUGUCGAUUUGGAGGUUGUGCCCUUGAGGCGUGGCUUCCGGAGCUAACGCGUUAAAUCGACCGCCUGGGGAGUACGGCCGCAAGGUUAAAACUCAAAUGAAUUGACGGGGGCCCGCACAAGCGGUGGGAGCAUGUGGUUUAAUUCGAUGCAACGCGAGAAACCUUACCUUGCUCUUGACAUCCACAGAACUUUUCAGAGAUGCUUUGGUGCCUUUCGGGAACUGUGAGACAGGUGCUGCAUGGGCUGUCGUCAGCUCGUGGUGUGAAUUGGUGGGGUUAAGUCCCGCACGAGCGCAAUCUCUUAUUCUUUUGUUGCCAACGGAUCAGGUCCGGGGAACUUUCAAAGGAGACUGCUCAAUGAAUAAACCUUGAAGGAAAGGUGGGGAAUGGACGUUCAGGUUCAUCAUGGCCCCUUACGAGCAAGGGCCUCUACACACC
rnacentral:rRNA from 1 species